UACGAAGGGGGCUAGCGUUGUUCGGAAUUACUGGGCGUAAAGCGCACGUAGGCGGAUUGCUAAGUCAGGGGUGAAAUCCCGGGGCUCAACCUCGGAACUGCCUUUGAUACUGACAGUCUCGAGUCCGGAAGAGGUGGGUGGAAUUCCUAGUGUAGAGGUGAAAUUCGUAGAUAUUAGGAAGAACACCGGUGGCGAAGGCGGCCCUCUGGACGGAUACUGACGCUGAGACGCGACAGCGUGGGGAGCAAACAGG
rnacentral:rRNA from 1 species